GGUGCUGGGGCUCAGUGGUAGAGCACUCGCCUGGCAUGUGCAAGACACUGGAUUCAAUCCUCAGUACCA
rnacentral:tRNA from 1 species